rnacentral:rRNA from 1 species
UACGUAGGGUGCAAGCGUUGUCCGGAAUCAUUGGGCGUAAAGCGCGUGUAGGCGGUUCGGUAAGUCUGCUGUGAAAGUCCAGGGCUCAACCCUGGGAUGCCGGUGGAUACUGUCGGGCUAGAGUACGGAAGAGGCGAGUGGAAUUCCCGGUGUAGCGGUGAAAUGCGCAGAUAUCGGGAGGAACACCAAUUGCGAAGGCAGCUCGCUGGGACGUCACUGACGCUGAGACGCGAAAGCGUGGGGAGCAACAGG